GAUGAACGCUGGCGGCGUGCCUAAUACAUGCAAGUCGAGCGAACGGACGAGAAGCUUGCUUCUCUGAUGUUAGCGGCGGACGGGUGAGUAACACGUGGAUAACCUACCUAUAAGACUGGGAUAAAUUCGGGAAACCGGAGCUAAUACCGGAUGAUAUUUUGAAACGCAUGGUUCAAAAGUGAAAAACGGUCUUGCUGUCACUUAUAGAUGGAUCCGCGCUGCAUUAGCUAGUUGGUAAGGUAACGGCUUACCAAGGCAACGAUGCAUAGCCGACCUGAGAGGGUGAUCGGCCACACUGGAACUGAGACACGGUCCAGACUCCUACGGGAGGCAGCAGUAGGGAAUCUUCCGCAAUGGGCGAAAGCCUGACGGAGCAACGCCGCGUGAGUGAUGAAGGUCUUCGGAUCGUAAAACUCUGUUAUUAGGGAAGAACAUAUGUGUAAGUAACUGUGCACAUCUUGACGGUACCUAAUCAGAAAGCCACGGCUAACUACGUG
rnacentral:rRNA from 1 species